GGUAUGCAAUGCAAGUCCCAACUGUCUCUCUUUUGUACAGGUCAAAGUACCUAGUAUGUUUAUCUCUUUACCUCCUUUCUAUUGCAGCAUUUGUGAUGUCCUGUUAAUUUAUUUAUCUGUGUAUUGCAUCUCCGAGUUGUGGUGCUACUAAUGUUUUGUAAAUAUUCAGACACUUUGAAUGAAAGUGGCUAUAUUGUAUGUGCAAUAUGUAAUGUCCUUUUUCACACAUUGAGUUAAGAGCAAAAGUGCUACCUACUUCUUUGUGAUAAAAGGUGUUGGCAUUUUUCUCUCCAAUUGUUUUUUCUUGAUUACAUGGUUUUAUCAUGUGUAUCAUAAGGUUGUAUUCAAUAUUAUGUAGAAUUUGACAUAGGUCGUAGUCCAAGUGUCACAGAUUACAUUUAUAAUUAUGCUUGAUUUUCUCAAGUGCACUAAGCUCGUUAGUUUGUUGAUAGUACUUUAAUUAGCUGUGGUAAUCAAUGGAGAGAUGAAGACAUGUACAGUUCAUUGUAAGAUUUGAUGUUUCUCAGCAGGUGAAACCUGGAUACAAUGCAAUAUUUCUUGUCCCAACUUAUGUACAUACAUGAUAUAUAUAUACAUGUCAAGUCUGUAUAUUGGUUACUUUAAAUAUUUAUUUUAUAUAUGAGUUCAUUUUUAUAUUUUGGUUAUUUGAAAAGAAUAAAAACAUGAAACACGUC
rnacentral:misc_RNA from 1 species